rnacentral:rRNA from 1 species
UACGGAGGGUGCGAGCGUUGUUCGGAAUUAUUGGGCGUAAAGCGCGUGUAGGCGGUCUUUUAAGUCUGAUGUGAAAGCCCCGGGCUCAACCUGGGAAGUGCAUUGGAAACUGGGAGACUUGAAUACGGGAGAGGGUAGUGGAAUUCCUGGUGUAGGAGUGAAAUCCGUAGAUAUCAGGAGGAACACCGGUGGCGAAGGCGGCUGCCUGGACCGAUAUUGACGCUGAGACGCGAAAGCGUGGGGAGCAAACAGG